GCUACUGACUAGGGUGUUCUGGGAAACAGAUGUGACUCAAGUAGCGUCUUUUGGGGAAGGUUUUGCUAUUGAAGACUGGAAGACAAAUGCAAAGGAUGAACUGAGGAUAAGAUCAGGAGUGUGAAGAAUGCUUGUGAGUGGGGAAGAAAUGUGUCACCCUCUAGAAGUUCAACUGGCAGACUCUUGCGCAAUGCUUCAGUAAGAUGUUGAAGCCCAGGAAAUGCAGCUGCUUUGAAUUCACACAUUAAAGAAAGGAAAAUAUAAAUGAGGAAAUUGAAGGAGCAAGGAAGUAGAAAACAAUGAAGUUUUCAUCCCUGGCUUUGCAGGGAGUACCUAGAAUCUGAAUCAGUCCAUUCUAUUAAAUAAUUGUAUUUUCUUAGGAUACACUGCUGGUCAGCAACUACAGCGGCUAAUGAUUUAAUCCUUGUGUAUCCAGAUAGAGAGCGGCAUCCUUUGUUUUACAGCACUGUUUGUGUACUGCAGUCCCUACAGCCUGCCCCCCACACCACUUUGGAAUUGGGUCCAGAGCCCUUUUAAUGAGCCUUUGUUCCAAACUGUCAAGGAUGUUGGUAUAGCACACAAGUUGGGACGAUGAAGACAGUGUCUCCCUCCAGGACAGAGGACAGAAUCAUUAGCUUCAUUUGAAGAAGAAAAUAUAGGGGUUAUUUUGGAUGUGGUGCAUUGGCAGCUAUUCCACAGACCCGGCAGGAAGAUGCAACAACUCCCCAAAACAACAAAAUGUUAAAGAAGAGUAAAUGCUUCUGUUUCAUCCAGAAUGAGGCUUUUCCUAAAAGAAAAUGUGGAUUCAACUUAAGGCUCUGCGUGAUGAAGAGCUUGAAGGAAGUAUAGUGAUGUCAGCAGCUUACCUUGAAUGCAUCAAAA